UUUCCCUUUACAGCACAUAAUAUUAACUGAUUCAAGGAAUCUAGAGGAAUUUCUGUACAUAAAGGGCAAGGGUGCAAGCCUAAGCUGAACACCCAUGAUCUCUGAUCCCUCGACAGCACUGCAUCAAGAACAGUCAUUCAUCAACAGCUGGUAUAACCACAUGCAAGGGAUUACUUUGGGAAUUUUUUGUCAAGCACUAAAAUACAGAGUUAUGGGGCAAAAAAGAUGCCUUACAGCAAAACUGUCCAGAAGCAACAGACUUCUAUGGGCUUGGAGGCAUCUGGGUUGGACCAUCACACAGUGGAAAUGUGUAAUGUAAUCAGACAAAUUGGUAUUCCAGAUGUUUUACUGAAAGAAAUAUACAUAGUAUGCUUCAGAACAAAGACAAAAAGGACCAUCCAGAAUGUUAUCAGAAACAAGUCCAAAAGCCAAGAUCAUUUAGACUUCUGUGAUGGCAGCAUAAAUGCAGAAAAGCACAUUUUGGGCAACAUGUGCUUCAAGAUUCUAUUUUUUCCAGGGAUGUCCAUGCAUCAUUCAACAUGACUGCAGAACUACAUUUCGCAUACAUUACAAAGGCAAGGCUGAGCAAGAAGAGGAUAAGGAUACGGAUACUGGAUCGGCCUGUCUGCAGUCCUGAC